rnacentral:rRNA from 1 species
UACGGAGGGUGCAAGCGUUAUCCGGAUUCACUGGGUUUAAAGGGUGUGUAGGCGGAUAUUUAAGUCAGUGGUGAAAUCUCAAGGCUCAACCUUGAAACUGCCAUUGAUACUAUUUAUCUUGAAUAUCGUUGGGGUAGGCGGAAUAUAUCAUGUAGCGGUGAAAUGCUUAGAUAUGAUAUAGAACACCGAUUGCGAAGGCAGCUUGCUAAACGAUUAUUGACGCUGAGGCACGAAAGCGUGGGGAUCAAACAGG